CGAGCCGAGCGGACGGCCGCGUCAGGACAGCAAGUCCUGCCGAGGAACGUCCGGACUCCACAGGGCAGGGUGGUGGCUAACGGCCACCCGGGGCGACCCGCGGGAAAGUGCCACAGAAAGCAGACCGCCGGGGACCUCGGUCCCCGGUAAGGGUGAAACGGUGGUGUAAGAGACCACCAGUGCCCAGGGUGACCUGGGCAGCUCGGUAAACCCCACCCGGAGCAAGGUCAAAAGGGAGCACCCCGGUGCUCCUGCGCGGACGUUCGAGGGCAGCCCGCCCGAGUCCGCGGGUGGACCGCACGAGGCCGGCGGCAACGCCGGUCCCAGAUGGAUGGCCGUCUCCCCGGCCGCCGCGAGGCGACCGGGUGACAGAAUCCGGCGUACAGCUCGACUCGCCUG
rnacentral:RNase_P_RNA from 2 species